rnacentral:misc_RNA from 1 species
AACGCACCUUGCGCUCCUUGGUAUUCCGAGGAGCAUGCCUGUUUGAGUGUCAUUAAUAUUAUAUAUCAAACCCUCUUUUUCUGGAGUGGUUUGGAUGUGGGGGGUUGCUGGCCUCUUGAAAGGGGUCAGCUCUCCUGAAAUGCAUUAGCGGAACAACCUGUUCGUUCAUUGGUGUGAUAACUAUCUACGCUAUUGAAUGGUGAAAGGCAGUUCAGCUUCCUAACUGUCUUUUGGACAAUUUAACAAUCUAUAUGUGACCUCAAAUCAGGUAGGACUACCCGCUGAACUUAA